GAUUUCUCUCUCUUCUUCAUGCUUUCUCUCUCUUCCUCCAAAUUCUCUGUGAUCUGAGGCGAUUUUCUUGGGUUCGGUCACGAUUUCUUCGCUUUUGUUCAUCAAAUUCUAGCGUGUUUCCGUUAAGGACCAAUUACUUAUGGAUCAACUAGAGGAUUCACGCGUACAGGUACUUCACUGUCAGCUAAACCAGAAGUCACUUCUAAUGCAGCAUCUGAAUAUGUACUUGCUUCUUCUAUGGCAUGAAGUUUCCUGCCCAACAAUUUCCAACUGUGAACUUGUUAAACUUAACCUUCUGCAAGAUAUCUACCUGCAAGCGAGCAAGAAAAGUUAAGGUGGAACAAUUGGAGUCUCUCCUUUUGCUUGUAUAUUGUCAGAUUCUCAAGUAUGAUGGGCAUUCAACAAAAAUAUGUAAUACUGUUUGGUUAAAUUUGCAAUAGUCUGUUCAGAUUUUGCAGGUAUAAUUAAUAUAUGUGUUUUGGUUACAAUUUACAAUUGACUAAGCUGCACAUUUUGAUGCAAGUAGAAGAGUCUUUAUAUACAAGAAUUUGAUAGAUAAUAUUCAAAGAAACAAAUGACACUAUUGUCAUACAUAUUCAGAUGCUGCACUGUGUUAUGCUGCUAUAUAACACCAUCUUAAUUGCUUAAUGUAUGUAUAUGUGUGCACUCGUGGCGCGUGUUAGUGUGCAAUUGUUGAGUUGUUA